UUUUUUAUUAGUUAGUAUCUAUUAUGUUCUUCAUAGCAUUUUUAAUUUUUUAAUUUUUUUCUAUUAGCAUCAGUAUUUGAUAUGUUUUCAAAAAAUGUUACAAAGUAUGGUAAUUUUCACUUGUGACUACACUACAACAAAUAACACUUUUUAUAACAAAACUUUCACUCCAGACAAUAGAAAAUUGAGUUAUAAAGUCA
rnacentral:lncRNA from 1 species